UACAGAGGUCUCAAGCGUUGUUCGGAUUCACUGGGUUUAAAGGGUGCGUAGGUGGUGCGGUAAGUCACCUGUGAAAUCUCCUGGCUCAACUGGGAGCUUGCAGGCGAAACUGCCGUGCUGGAGUGUGGGAGAGGUGCGUGGAAUUCCCGGUGUAGCGGUGAAAUGCGUAGAUAUCAGGAGGAAUACCGAUGGCGAAGGCAGGUCUCUGGGCUGACACUGACGCUCAUGCACGAAAGCGUGGGGAGCAAACAGG
rnacentral:rRNA from 1 species